ensembl:lncRNA
CGGCAGCUCAGCUCCCGGAGUACAAUCCCUUUCUCCUCCAUGUCGCGGUUCAUGGACUUCAGAGAGUCAAGGCCAAAGUUCCUUUUUUCCCCCAAUUCUUCUCAACCGUGGCCGAGAUAUCUCCCACUAUGAGUCUUUACUUGUUGUGGAAGUACCAGAGCUCCAGUAGUCCGCAAACGGCAACAAUCCCUUCUCCUCCAUGCUGUGGUUCAGUCUGACAGCUCAUUGGUCAAUGGGCAGCAGCUGAUUUGCAUUAAAGCUACAGACACCAGAAACAGCGCAUUCUGAAGGGACUGAAACAGAGGGGAAUAGCGACUGCGAACCCGCCGACUAGGGUUUGCCAAACAAGAAGCAGCAGAGCAGAUGAUCAGGGAGAUUGCUGAGGCGGGGGUGAUAGAGCCAUCCAACAGCCCCUGGGCUGCCCCUGCCCUCCUGGUCAAAAAGAAGGACGACACCUGGAGGUUCUGUUUGGACUAUCGUCACUUGAACAAUGUUACCAGAAAGGACUCUUACCCCUUGCCCCGCAUAGAUGACGCCUUGGAUAAAGUCACAGGGUCACAGUGAUUCAGCUCACUAGACCUUCGAAGCGGCUACUGGCAGGUGGAGCUGGCACCAGAUGCAAGACCCAAGACGGCUUUCACCAUCGGCCAAGGGCUCUGGCAGUUCAGGGUGAUGCCCUUUGGUCUCUGCAAUGCUUCCCCCGCGUUCGAGAGACUUAUGGAGGGGUUCUGGCUCACAUUCACAGAAAACAGUGCGUGGUCUACCUUGAUGACCUUCUGGUCCAUGCCAAGGACUUCGAGCUGGCCCUAGAAAACUAUCAUUUGUCAUCACAUAAUCUGCACACAAUGACCUUUAUUGACAAGUCUAAAUAAACUAUUGUGAAUUAUUAA